UACGUAGGGUGCGAGCGUUGUCCGGAAUUAUUGGGCGUAAAGGGCGCGUAGGCGGCCUGGCAAGUGGAUGGUGAAAUCCCUCGGCUUAACCGAGGAACUGCCAUCCAGACUGCUUGGCUUGAGACCGGGAGAGGUGAGUGGAAUUCCCAGUGUAGCGGUGAAAUGCGUAGAUAUCGGGAGGAACACCAGCGGCGAAGGCGGCUUUCUGGACCAAUACUGACGCUGAGACGCGAAAGCGUGGGGAGCAAACAGG
rnacentral:rRNA from 1 species